UACGGAGGGGGCUAGCGUUGUUCGGAAUUACUGGGCGUAAAGCGCACGUAGGCGGCUUUGUAAGUUAGAGGUGAAAGCCCGGGGCUCAACUCCGGAAUUGCCUUUAAGACUGCAUCGCUAGAAUUGUGGAGAGGUAAGUGGAAUUCCGAGUGUAGAGGUGAAAUUCGUAGAUAUUCGGAAGAACACCAGUGGCGAAGGCGACUUACUGGACACAUAUUGACGCUGAGAUGCGAAAGCGUGGGGAGCAAACAGG
rnacentral:rRNA from 1 species